rnacentral:rRNA from 1 species
UAGUCCACGCCCUAAACGAUGCUUACUCGACGUUUGUUUAAUUAUGAGCGUCUAAGGGAAACCAAUAAGUUAGCCACCUGGGGAGUACGUUCGCAAGGUUGAAACUCAAAGGAAUUGACGGGGGCCCGCACAAGCGGUGGAGCAUGUGGUUUAAUUCGAUGAUACGCGAGGAACCUUACCUGGGCUUAAAUGCAUAAUGACUGACUGGGAAACCAGUCGUUCUUCGGACAGAAUGCAAGGUGCUGCAUGGCUGUCGUCAGCUCGUGCUGUGAGGUGUCGGGUUAAGUCCCAUAACGAGCGCAACCCCUAUUUCUAGUUGCCAGCACAUAAUGGUGGGGACUCUAGAAAAACUGCCCGCGCAAGCGGUGAGGAAGGUGGGGACGACGUCAAGUCAUCACGGCCCUUACGUCCAGGGCUACACACGUGCUACAAUGGUAGAGACAGAGGGCAGCCACUUGGUGACAAGGAGCUAAUCCUUAAAACUCUAUCUCAGUUCGGAUUGAAGUCUGCAA